CUGGGUCCAGGAUUUGAUUGGAUCUGAUAAUUAACUGGCUUGGAUCCAGUUAGAUGCCUCGGGUAUCUGACUGGGUCAGAUAGAAACCGCCAGUAAAUAUUUUAAUAAAAGCAAUACUGCAGGGGUAUGAACUCUGGCUGUAAGAAACUCACAAGGAAUUUUAUGUUCUAUACCCUUUGUUUCUUUUUCUUGUGUGCUUCGGUGGGGAAAAAUCAUUAGUCAAGUUAAUCAAGGGGAUCUGAGAGCCAAAUACAAGAUUCAACGUAAAAAUGGAAUCCUUGGGCUGGGCGUGGUGGCUCAGGCCUGUAAUCCCAGGACUUUGGGAGGCUGAGGCAGGCGGAUCACCUGACCUCAGGAGUUCGAGACCAGUCUGGCCAACAUGGUGAAACCCUGUCUCUACUAAAAAUACAAAAAUUAGCCAGGCCUGGUGGUGGGCACCUGUAAUCCCAGCUACUUUGGAGACUGAGGCAGGAUAAUCACUUGAACCCAGGAGGCAGAGGUUGCAGUGAUCUGAGAUUGCGCCACUACACUCCAGCCUGGGCGAAAGAGCGAGACUCCGUCUCAUAAAUAAAUACAUACAUAAAUAAAGGAAUCCUUAAUUUCUGAGGAACUGAGUGCUCUACCUUCUGGCUAUACCUACCUAUAACUGUGUGAGGUAUAGGCCCUGGAAGCAGCAAACACUUACAGAAAUGGUGAAAUCUUACUAAAGGUAAUCUAAAGUUAUGAUGGAACAUCCCAAAUGAACAACACUGCACUUUAGGAAGUACAUAUAAAAAUGAAGUCUCCCAAUUUAGUAUUAUCCAGGGAUGGCUGUUGAAGUUCAGAAGCUUCUAAAAAGAUUCCAAUAUUUUUACAGAUUCUUUUAAAAGAUUCUUUGUAAAAGGCAAAUAAGCUUAAGUGACUAAUCAGAAAAAUUAAGUCUUCUAACCUUUUGUCAUUGUUACUGCCUUGCCCUGAAAGGGAAAAGAAAGCUGGAUAAAGUAUUUAUAGAAGAUAGAGGACCUGUGGUGGCUCAUGUCUGUAAUCCAAGGUGGAAGGAUCGCUUGAGGCCAGAAGUUCAAGACCAGUCCAAGCAACAUAGCAAGGCCCCAUCUCUACAAAAAAUGAAAAUAAAAUUAGCUGAGCAUGAUGGCUCAUGCCUGUAGUUCUAGCUUCUAGACAGGCUGAGGCAGGAGGAUUGCUUGAGUCUAGGAGUUCAAGAUUACAAUGAACUAUGGUCACACCACUGCACUCCAGCCUGGGUGAUAGAGUGAGACUGUCUCAAUAAAAAGAUAAAAAGGCUGGCCAGAGGCGGUGGCUCAUGCCUGUAAACCCAGCACUUUGGGAGGGAAAGGCAGGAGGAUUGCUUAAGCCCAGGAAUUUGAGAUCAGCCUGGACAACAUGGUCAAGGAAGCUUUUCCUGAUCCACUAACUAAGGACAAUCAAACCCUUCAUGAUCUAGAAUCUGGAGACUGUGUCUUCUGCGAAUAGUAUCAGAGAAAGACUGCCCUUACUGCCCACAUGUAGCAAAACUUUGAGACUUUGAAUUAUGGGUCCAUAAUCUCACAACUCAGAGGGGCACCUCUAGACUCUUGGAACUGUAUACCUAUUGGAGACUUUAAGGUAAAGCUGACCGGAGACGUUUUUCUCCAGAAGCAGACAGCACCAUAGUCAUGGACAGCUUUCCCAAGAUCACAGAUCAAGACUUCUCUGCUGUCAUGAGACUCAUACCUCUUAAUUUUUUCUUGCUUAUGCUUCUGUGAACAAUAGAAUUGGAAAAGGGGUGGUCCCGCGUGCACCCAUAGGGUAUACUUUUAUUUGUGGAGGAUUUUGCUGCCAACCUUAUACAUGGGCAAACUUAUGCCUUCAUGGAUGGAAGAUAAAGGGCUAAUAUGGGUUAGAAAUUUUAAUGGUACUUUCGUUUCUCCAUAAUCAUUCAGAAACAGAACACUGGUCCACUCUUGUUAACCUACAUCAUAGGUUGAAGAGAACAUUGCCAUGAGGCCUUCAUCCUUUCAGAUGGGCAUCAUUUGUUGGGUCUUUUUCCAUGAUAUGAAGAAAAUGAAGCAAUGAUUAGAAAUUGGUCCCUUGGCCGGGCACAGUGGCUCACACCUGUAAUCCCAUCACUUUGGCAGGCCGAGGUGGGUGGAUCACCUGAGGUCAGGAGUUUGAGACCAGCCUGACCAAUGCGGUGAAACCCCAUCUCUACUAAAAAUACAAAAAUUAGCUGGGUGUGGUGGUGCACACCUGUAAUCCCAGCUACUCGGGAGGCUGAGACAGGAGAAUUGCUUGAACCUGGGAGGCAGAGGUUGCAGUGAGCCGAGAUCACCCCCCUGCAUUCCAGGUUGGGCAACAGAGCAAGACUCUGUCUCAAAGAAAAAAAAAAAAAGAAAGAAAGAAAUGGAUCCCUCAUAAUAGGCUCUAUAGCAGAUUCUACUGCAAAGGCUAUGGUUGCACAACAGACUUCUUUGAAUUUGCUUGCUAAACUUGUACUGGUUAAUAGAAUUGCCUCCAAAAGUGCUGGGAUUACAGGUGUGAGCCACUGUGCCCAGCCUCUCCUGUUUAAUUGUAUUCAUUCUAAUGUUUACUUACUUCUUUAAUUUGUAAAAUGGGGUCACUUAGAGUUUUUUAGCCUAUCUUACCAUUUAGCCACUAUUACUGAUAAUUUGGAUGGAAAAGAAAAAUAAAUUAUAUCACCUCUC